rnacentral:rRNA from 1 species
AGUUUGAUUAUGGCUCAGAUUGAACGCUGGCGGCAUGCCUUACACAUGGUCGAACGGCAGCGCGGGAGCAAUCCCGCGCGAGGCGAAAAUGGGUGAGUAAUACAUCGGAACGCCCAGUAGUGGGGAUAGUCCGGCGAAAGCCGGAUUAAUACCGGCAUACGACCUACGGGUGAAAGGGGGGAUCGCAAGACCCUCUCGCUAUUGAGUGGGCCGGAUAUCAGAUUAGGUAGUUGUGGGGUAAAGGCCUACCAAGCCUGCGUGAUCUGUAGUUGGUCUUGAGAGGACGACCAGCCACACUGGGACUGAGACACGGCCCAGACUCCUACGGAGGUGCAGUGGGGAAUUUGGACAAUGGGCGCAAGCCUGAUCCAGCAAUGCCGCGUGCAGGAAGAAGGCUCGGGUUGUAAACUGCUUUUGUCAGGGAAGAAAUCCUCUGCUACUUACCUCGGGGGGAUGACGGUACCUGAAGAAUAAGCACUCAUAACUACGCCAGCAGCCGCGGUAAUACGUAGGUGCGAGCGUUAAUCGGAAUUACUGGGCGUAGCGUGCGUGGCGGCAGGCGGUUGUGCAAGACAGGUGAAAUCCCAGAGCUUAACUUUGAACCGUGGGCAUUUUUAACUACCGGCUAGAGUGCGUCAGAGGAGGUGGAAUUCCGGGCGUGUAGCAGGAAUGCGUAGAUAUGCGGAGGAACACUGAUGGCGAAGGCAGCUCUGGGAUAACACUGACGCUCAUGCACGAAAGCGUGGGGCGAGCAAACAGGAUUAGAUACCUCUGGUAGUCCACGCCCUAAACGAUGUCAACUAGCUGCUGGGGCCUCGGGCCUUGGCAGCGCAGCUAACGCGUGAAGGACCGCCGCCUGGGGAGUACGGUCGCAAGAUUAAAACCCAAAGAAUUGACGGGGACCCGCACAAGCGGUGGAUGAUGUGGAUUAAUUCGAUGCAACGCGAAAACCUUAUCACCCUUGACAUGUCUGGAAUGCCGAAGAGAUUGGCAGUGCUGCAAGAGAACCGGAACACAGGCGUUGCAUGGCUGUCGUCAGCUGUGUCGUGGAGAUGUUGGGUUAAGUCCUGCAACGAGCGCAACCCUUGUCAUUAGUUGCUACGAAAGGGCACUCUAAUGAGACUGCCGGUGACAAACUGAGGAAGGUGGGGAUGACGUCAAGUCCUCAUGGCCCUUAUGGGUAGGGCUUCACACGUCAUACAAUGGUCGGGACAGAGGGAACACAACCCGCGAGGGGGAGCCAAUCCCAGAAACCCGAUCGUAGUCCGGAUCGCAGUCUGCAACUCGACUGCGUGAAGUCGGAAUCGCUAGUAAUCGCGGAUCAGCAUGUCGCGGUGAAUACGUUCCCGGGUCUUGUACACACCGCCCGUCACACCAUGGGAGUGGGUUUUACCAGAAGUAGUUAGCCUAACCGCAAGGGGGCGAUUACCACGGUAGGAUUCAUGACUGGGGUGAAGUCGUAACAAGCGUAG